UACAGAGGUCCCGAGCGUUGUUCGGAUUCACUGGGCGUAAAGGGUGCGCAGGUGGCAUGGUAAGUUUGAUGUGAAAGCCCCGGGCUUAACCCGGGAAUGGCAUUGAAUACUACUGUGCUGGAGGAUCGGAGGGGGGACUGGAAUUCUUGGUGUAGCAGUGAAAUGCGUAGAUAUCAAGAGGAACACCAGUGGCGAAGGCGAGUCCCUGGACGAUACCUGACACUGAGGCACGAAAGCCAAGGGAGCAAACAGG
rnacentral:rRNA from 2 species